UCAGCUCUCUUAGCCUUUUGGCUUCGAUCAAGUGUAGUAACUGUUCUUGCCAGUUUAAUCGCUGGUAGGUCCCUACGGGGACUGUUAUCAACGCUUAGUUUUUGGAAACAGUCUAGCGGCCGCUGAACUUUGUUCAUGCCGCUGGUCACAGUGUCGCCAGUAUUGCACUAUCGCUGGCUGACGCAACCUUCU
rnacentral:snRNA from 1 species